UAUGCCGCCUCCUUUAAGAUGCUAUAAUUGCCAAAAGUAUGGGCAUGUGGCUAUAAUGUGUAAGUCUAAGAAAAGAUGUGGGGGUUGGGAUUGGGGGACAUGAUUAUGGCAAAUGUGAAGGAGCGGGGCUCAAGUGUUGUAACUGUGGAGGAGAACACAGUGUUGCGUUUGGGGGAUGUGAGGUGAGGAAGAGAGCUGUUGAAGUGCAGAAUGAGAGAGCUGAGAAGAACAUUACAUAUGCAGAAGCAAUAAAAAUGGUUGAUGCAAAGAAUAAAGAGAAAGGAAAAGAGAGAGAUGUGCAAAUGGAGGGGAGGAAUGAGUUAAAUUCAGAGAUGGAGGGUAGAACCACAGAGGAUACGAUGAUUGUGAAUAAAGUAAAUUUCUUGCUGUUCAUAGCUGAAGUAAUGUACUGCGCAAACAGAAAAGAAGACAAUUAAGAUUCAAAUUAUAGUCAGGGCAGCAGAGAGAUUCUUAGGAGUAAAAGGUAUAUCAUGGGUAAUGAUUAGGGAUGGGCUGGUGACUGAGACACAGUCAAAUCAGGAAGCUUGGUUUGGAUAAGAGUGAUGAUUUUAAUAUUACAAUGGAAUGCGAGAAGUCUUGUGGCUAAUGGAUUGGAGUUUAAAAGCAUUAUUAAUGAGAUGGAAAUUAAGCCUGAUCUGUUAUGUAUACAAGAGACGUGGCUUAAACCCCAAUAUGAUUUUGUUAUAAAAGGUGAUUGAGAGAAGAGAUCGUGAGGAGGGUAAUGGUGGAGGGUGUAUUACUCUGAUCAAGGAAGGUCGACAUUUUAGAAUAUUAGGUAAAGGUAUAACAAAAGAGUAUGUGGUAGUGGAGGGUGUGGGUGAGUGGAAUAAACUAUGUAAUAAUAAACUUUUAUUAUCCUUGUAGGAAAUUAAUGUUGAAUGAUUUAGAACAAAUAGAGGGCCAAAAUGGGGAGAGGGUGAUUUGGUGCGGGGACUUCAGUGCACAGAGUACGUUAUGGGGAGGUUUAAUGACAGAUGGUAAUGGACUGGUGGUGGAAGAUCUGAUGGAAAUUAGGAACUUGGUGUGUUUGAAUGAUGGGGUUUAUACAAGGGUAAAUGUGAAUACAGGAAAAGAAUCCGUAUUAGAUUUAACAUUGAUAUCUGACUCCAUUGCAGGGAGUACUGAAUGGGAAAUAAUGCAACAAGACACAAUAGGAAGUGAUCACUAUCCAAUAUUAACAUCAGUAAGAGUAAAUACAGGAAGAAGUGAUGUGAAUCAAGGAAAUAUGGGUAAAUGGAGGUAUGAUAAAGCGAGUUGGGAAGAAUUUAUGAGUUUGAGUGAAGAGGGAUUAAAGAACAUUAUAAUAGAAACAGAUAGAUCGGUAGAGAUGAUCAGCAGAGAAAUAGUACAAGCAAUUCAAAUAGCAGCAAAUAAGUAUAUACCAAAAAGGAAAGUGGGUAGAAAUAUUAAGAUAGUGCCCUGGUGGAAUGAAGAGUGUGCAUGUGCUAUAAGAAGGAAAAGGAAAGCAUUUAGGAGAGUCAGGAAAUCUCAUAAUUUUCAAGAUUUGAUAGAGUAUAAACAAGCACAAGCAGUAGUAAGAAGUACAGUAAGGAAAGCCAAGAAGGUGGAUUGGAUGUCAUAUAGUAGUGAAAUAGGGAAGAAUACAUCAGUAGAGGAGGUGUGGGGCAUGAUUAAGAAAAUGAAGGGAAUUCAAAAGAAUAAUGGAUAUCCAGUUUUAAGCAUGAAUGAAGAAACAGCUGUGGAGGAUGGAGAGAAAGUGGAAAUGUUUCUAAAGGUGUUUAUUAAAGUAAAUAGUUCAGAAAAUUUGAGCAGAGUAAGGAAAUAAGAGAGGAUGUGUUGAAAGAGUAUCCAGAUUUUAUGGCGGAAAAAGAGACCGUUAAUCAUCUGUUGGAUGUCCCAUUCUCUAUGAGUGAAUUAAAGAGGGCAGUGAGAAGAAUGAAACUAUCUACUCCAGGUUUGGAUGGAGUUAGUUAUUGUAUGAUGAAUUAUUUUAGUGAAGUUUCUAUAAAGGCAAUUUUAGCAUUUUAUAAUAGAAUAUAGAUAGAAGGUAUACUUCCUCAAAGUUGGAAGGAAGCAUUAAUUACACCCAUUAAAAAGCCAGGGAAAGAUCCAAGUAAUGCUAUAAAUUAUCAUCCAAUAACUCUAACCUCUCAUUUAUGCAAGGUAAUGGAGAGAAUGAUAACUGAUAGAUUGAUAUCAUUUGGAAAAAGGGAGCUGUUUUUCUCCGUAUCAAAGUGGGUUUAGGUGUGGAAGAGGGACUUUGAAUCCAAUAAUAUCUUUAGAAGCUGAUAUAAGGAAGGCAUUUAUAAAUAAGGAAAGUGUCAUCGCUGUUUUCUUCAAUAUAGAAAAGGCGUAUGAUAUGUUGUGGAAGAAGGGAUUAUUAAUAAAGCUAGGAAAGAUGAAUAUAAAAGGAAGAAUGUAUAACUGGGUUAAAGAGUUUUUAAUCGGGUGAAGAAUUAGGGUGAAGGUUGGCGGAGCUAUAUCCUCUAGUGUUGUGAUUGAUAAUGGAACACCCCAGGGCAGUGUAAUAAGUCCACUUUUAUUUAUCAUCAUGAUUAAUGAUGUUUUCUCAAGGAUACAUAUAAGUAUGGGGAAAUCAUUGUUUGCUGAUGAUGGGGCUCUCUGGUUUAAAGGAAAGAAUAUAGAAUAUAAUAUAAAGAAAAUGCAAUCUGUGUUAAAUGAAGUAGAAAAGUGGUCAGGGGAAAAUGGAUUCAAGUUUUCAGUGGAAAAGACACAAAUAAUACUUUUACAAAUAUGGAGAGGAAGGUGGAUGUUAAAUUAAAAUUAUAUAAACAAGAACUGGAACGUGUAAAUAUAAUAAGAUUUCUAGGAAUAUGGUUUGAUAGCAGAUUAACCUGGAAAGCGCAUAUAGAAAAGAUGGUGGGAAGAUGUAAGCAAGUAGUGAAUGUAAUGAGGUGUAUUUCAGGACAGGAAUGGGGAGCAGAUAGGUUGGCUUUAAAAACCAUAUAUACAUCCAUGAUAAGAUCUAUACUGGAUUAUGGUUACAUAGUAUAUGGUUCUGCAAAUAAAUCUCAUUUAAUUAAAUUGGAUAGAAUUCAGUCUCAAGCCCUAAGAAUUUUUUGCGGAGCAUAUUUGACUUCUCCAGUUUCAGCUCUUCAAGUAGAGAUGGGUGAAAUGCCUUUGCAGAUAAGAAGACAACAAUUAAUGGCGUCUUAUUGGGUAAAUCUAAGAGGUCAGAGUUGGAAUCACCCUACAAAAAAAGGUACUGAUGCCUAGUUGGGAAUAUGAGAAGAAAGAGUGCAGUAGUUUUGGAUGGAGUGUGGGGAAAUUAGUAAAAGGUAUGAGACUGGAAGAAUUUAGAUAUGCUCCAAUAAUUACUUUAUCUUCAGUGCCAUUGUGGGUUAUGCCCCAAUCAGAAGUUGAUCUAAAUGUAUUAGAAAGAAGGCAAAAGGAAGGUCCAUAUGAAGCUGAGGUAUAUGAUGAAAGGGAGUAUGUGGGGUCAAGAUACAUUUACACAGAUGCUUCAAAAGAUCCAAAAACAGGUCAUGUGGGUGCUGCAUUCAUAAUUCCAAAGUUAAAAGUGUAUAAGGCAAUAAUAUGCUCAGAUUCUAGUUCAGCUCUAAUAAGUCUGAAUGAGCAGAAGUCAGAAACAAGACAAGAUAUGAUAAUAGAGAUUAUUCAAGAAAUAUAUUCACUUAAGCAAAAUAGUAUAAAGGUACAGUUUUUGUGGGUUCCGGCUCAUAUUGGGUUGAGAGGUAAUUAAGAGGCAGAUGUUUUAGCAAAAAAGGCCAUAGAGCGAGAGAUAGUUGAUAACCAGAUUUCUUUUAGUAGGUCAGAAAUAAAGUCAAUAAUCAGAAAGUAUAUUCUGAAAUUAUGGCAACAGUAUUGGGACACUGACACAAAAGGUAGACAUUUGUAUCUCAUACAGUCAGUAGUGGGUAAGGGAAGAGUAUCAGGUGAGAGCAGAUUUGAGGAGAACAUAAUUACAAGAUUAAGAUUGGGGCAUACAAGGUUGUACAGUACAAUGCAUUUAGUAGGCAAACAUCCAACAGGUCUAUGUGAGGUAUGUGGUGUUAAUGAAACAGCUGAGCAUGUUAUAAUGCACUGUAGGAAAUAUACUGGUGGAAGGAUGACUAGUAAAUAAGGGUGAGCAGUUUACAAUUAAAAAUUUACUAAAUCCAGGUAGAAACAUAACACCAUUAUUGUUACAAUAUUUGGGAAGAACAGGUUUGGACAAUCGUAUAAAAGUAUGUAGGUAAAGAAUUAUUUUAUUUAUUUUUUUUUUCAUUUAUUUUACCCCUCCAUGGGGGCUGAGUGUGGGAACGGAUGAGCUGAACACGCAGCGCCGGAUGAAUCCUCAGCCUCUAUGCAUGUUUAAGAAUUAAGGGUGAUUGUAUGUAGAGUGUCAAUGGUCCAUUUGGGUGAUAGGUGGUGGUAAUGCACUUAUGUGUUUGCAAUCCGCCGUAAAACAAGAAGAAGAAUGACGAUAAGCUAACGCGGGUAAAAUUCGGGGAUUCAAUGGGGGUUAUGGGCAACAAACUUCCGUAUUCCAGAAAACAGCUCGCAUCGCUUCCGGUUCUGUAUGUUCUACGCUGACAUGGCGCUGUUUUACUCAAGAUGCCUUCAGGAACUACCAAAGAUGAGCAUAACCGAUGUCCAUUGCAUAUGCAGGUUGACAUCUAAAACUCCUGCCACCAAAAUGGAUAAGGGAUUUAAGCUAUAUGCUUCCUCAUACAUAUGCGACUACGAGGGUAUGUAGUAGUCCCGAACGGAAAUGCUGUACAAUAUGUCACUAGCUAGCUAAUGCUAACAUAAACUACCUAGUCUUAUCUAUGGAUCUACAUAAUCACAUUAACAUGUUGUUAAUUUUUUCACCAGUAUCAAAUAAAGACAGGCUGACUGGUGCUGUCAGCAUCAGGGCAGCCUGUCACAGGUCUAUGAGGAAAAGCGAGAAGCCACACAGACUGAGAGUAACGUUAGGGAUGGUUUGGGUGUUCUGUUCAAGUUCUCAGUCUUUUCCAGUUCAGGGACAGUUUUUUAUCAAGCCUUUCAGAGUUGGAAUAAGAAUAGAUGAAUCUGUGAUCAUGACCAAGUCCCUUUGUUAUCCUGAAACGCUUGGUAAAUGCAUGCACAGUUGUUCCAAGUUUAUUGCUUUUGUUGUUGUUUGUCUACUUGUUAAAAGAUGAUGAUAUUGAGGUCACUGGGGUAUAGUUGACUGACUGUAAAUCCUUAAUUCUUGAGUGCCACCUAUUAUUCCAUGUUAUUCAUAAUCAGGCCUCCCAAAAUAAAAAUCCCUCUAUUACACACAGUAUUAACAAAUUCUGUUAUUGUAUUUAUUGUAUUAAUGGCAUUGCCAAACUUGCCCCAGCAACCUAACUAGACUGAUGCUCAAAUCAAUGUCAGUGUUUGUAAAAAAUUCACUCCAUAUACUUUUGUACAGAUUGUUCUUCGGGAUUCGGACCCUGUCAUUCUCGUAUCAAAUCGGUGCUCGUGUGCAACCACAUUUUUGCUUUGCUGUUUCAAACAGCACAUUAUUCAGAGCUUGAUGUGCAGGUUGUGCCCCCUGUCCACUCCUGCACUGAGACAGAGCAGCAAUGGCACAAGCCCAGAACAGCUGUAAGUGUUGAGACGUGACUCCUGGUAUUAGUGAUAUUAAAAUAUAAACAAUAAGACAACUGUAUUGGAAGCAUGUUUUCUCAAUGCCACAGUCCAACUUGUAAUGAUCAGGAACCUUAGAAGGACAGCAAUGAAUUAUUAAAUUUUUUUGCUCUCAUUGUUUUGACAUAGGCAGUCAUAGGUAAUAUGUCACAUACUUUGCCUGACUAGUUAGUAUUUUGUGUUAUUUAUUUUUUUCUUUUUAUUUUCUUCUCUUAAUGUUGAUAAUAUUAUUUUUAUUUUUUUUUGUCAGGGAGUGAAACCUGGGCCAAUAAACAAAAUGGUCAUCACAAGACCAAGACCCACAUGGCUCAUGGAAGGAGGAAUGAGUUAGUCAGCUCCUAUUACUGUAAUUACUGCAUCGUGCAAGGUUAUACAAUCUACAGGGUCAUAGGCAGUAUGAAGUACACUCUACAAGGGCUUGGUUGGGGACCCACUUGACAUCUCUUUGCUACAGAUUGGAGACACAUAUAAAGACUUUGACAUUAUGGAGAAACCUUUAGUAGCAAGUAUGGGCAUAUGUGAUGAGAAGACCCUUGUUGAGACAGCUUUUGGCUUAGCACAAAAGGGGAGUGUGCUCUCUUACUAGCAGCCUAUAUUGCCCACGAAGUUGGUCAACAUGCACCAAGAUCCUUCACCUUACCCACCACUGCCUCUUGGGGAGUACAGGCUUGACCAAACAGAAUGUGUGCAUGUGUGCACUGAAGAGGAGCACUUCCACCUUAAAAGCUUGAUCGUCACACUGGACAUGGCCUAUAAGAUUGAGGCUGCCAUGAGAGCAGGCAGCGGAACAGGAGUGGCAUCAGCUCCGUAGGCCUAGGAUCACCUCACGUUUUAGAGAGGUGUGUUUUGUCAGGGGAGUGAGGUCUGCAGAGUCUCUUGCAGAAAGAAUCCUCAAAGGAACAAGGCAGACAGCAGAAAUGAGAAGAGGUGCAGACAUGGAGUUUGAGGCAGCAGCGGAGUAUUGCAGGAUGAAAAAUGUAAACUACUCGCCCUGUGGCCUCGUCAUCCACCCUGAUGCCCCUUGGCUUGGUGCCUCACCAGAUGGCUUGAUUUAUGAUCCAUUCACACAGCCACCAUUUGGACUGGUUGAGAUAAAGUGUCCUAAUGUGAAGAACUAUGUGGACUGUAAAUACCUUCAAAUGCAGCAUGGCACUUUAGCACUCCUUGAAUGCCACUCGUAUUACUGGCAGGUGCAGGGUCAACUGUUGAUCACUGGCCUGCAAUGGUGCGAUUUUGUGAUCUGUGCCCAGGAUGACAUGCUGGUGCAGCAUAUAUAAGUUGACCCGAAUGUAACAGCAGCCAUCAGAGAGAGGGUGGACCAGUUUUAUUUUAAUGUGUAUAUGCAAAAGUACCUAUCUUUCUCCAAAAGGAUGUAAUGAUUGAUGCAGGAUAAUGUGAGUUGUAAAGUUAGUUGCUUGACCAUUUUUUUUUUCCCCUAUUUUUUGUUUUUGUUUUUUUGAGAGCUCUUAUCGGCAAUUUUAAUGUUUCAUUGAAUGAUUUAGAUUAUUUAAAAGUAUGUUCUUCAAAAGGUUACACAGUAAUUGUACUGUAUAUAUUGCAAUGAACAAAGAGAAAUGUUUUUUCACACAGAUUUAUUUUUCAGUGACAAAAAUAAGCAUUUCAAAUAAAAAAAUAACAUUUUAAAUACAA